rnacentral:misc_RNA from 1 species
ACAUCUUUAUAAAAACUUUGUUAGCAAUCAGUGGUAAUGUCAAAGUUUUUAUAAAGAUGUUUAAUAAUUGUGCCACGGCAGCACAACCAGUUAUCUACAGCUUUAGUAUAUGAAUCGUCACCCUGCAAAGAACUAGUAAGUGAAAAAUGAGAAGAGAACAUCCUAUGAUGUGCACACAUUGCAGCUUUUCCUACAAUAGCCA